rnacentral:piRNA from 1 species
UGCAGGAAUGAUACGUGGCAGUGCCU